rnacentral:rRNA from 1 species
AACGUAGGACACAAGCGUUAUCCGGAGUUACUGGGCGUAAAGGGCGUGUAGGCGGACCUAUAAGUCUAUUCUGAAAGCUCCUGGCUAAACUGGGAGAGGCGAAUGGAGACUGUAGAUCUAGAGUGAGGAAGAGGAAAGUGGAAUUCCGCGUGUAGUGGUGAAAUGCGUAGAGAUGCGGAGGAACACCAGUGGCGAAAGCGGUUCUCUGGGCCGAUACUGACGCUG